rnacentral:lncRNA from 1 species
UUAAAAAAAUUACACGAUUAUUGGUUACUAUCUAACAAUUAUUGUUAGAUAUACAUCCAUAUUCUUCACAAGAGAACACAAUAAAUUUGAAUUUACCGAUUGGAACACCUGAGGCACUAGAAGAAUUUAAUAAAUUGAUAACACAAGACUCCGUAUCAUUAUCACAAUAUAAAAGGAUAAUUAGAAUUAUAGGAGGAAAAGAUGCGGAACAACAUGUAAGAAACGCAUUAAAACUUACUCUAACUGAUCAUCCAGCUUACAAACUCUCAUGGACCGGACAAAAAAAUACUAUACAAACGAGAGACAUGAAAUUUGUUGACGUCAUUAUCGAUGUAAUCAUCAGUAUUAGUGGAAAGAGUAUUUCUUCCCAUUCCAUCCAAACUGUAAUUAAAAACUGGCUACAACAUGCUGGAGAUCGGAUAAA